rnacentral:rRNA from 1 species
CAGAAGAGGACAGUGGAACUCCAUGUGUAGCGGUGAAAAGCGUAGAUAUAUGGAAGAACACCAGUGGCGAAGGCGGCUGUCUGGUCUGUAACUGACGCUGAGGCUCGAAAGCAUGGGUAGCGAACAGGAUUAGAUACCCUGGUAGUCCAUGCCGUAAACGAUGAAUGCUAGGUGUUGGAGGGUUUCCGCCCUUCAGUGCCGCAGCUAACGCAUUAAGCAUUCCGCCUGGGGAGUACGACCGCAAGGUUGAAACUCAAAGGAAUUGACGGGGGCCCGCACAAGCGGUGGAGCAUGUGGUUUAAUUCGAAGCAACGCGAAGAACCUUACCAGGUCUUGACAUCUUUUGAUCACCUGAGAGAUCAGGUUUCCCCUUCGGGGGCAAAAUGACAGGUGGUGCAUGGUUGUCGUCAGCUCGUGUCGUGAGAUGUUGGGUUAAGUCCCGCAACGAGCGCAACCCUUAUGACUAGUUGCCAGCAUUUAGUUGGGCACUCUAGUAAGACUGCCGGUGACAAACCGGAGGAAGGUGGGGAUGACGUCAAAUCAUCAUGCCCCUUAUGACCUGGGCUACACACGUGCUACAAUGGAUGGUACAACGAGUUGCGAGACCGCGAGGUCAAGCUAAUCUCUUAAAGCCAUUCUCAGUUCGGACUGUAGGCUGCAACUCGCCUACACGAAGUCGGAAUCGCUAGUAAUCGCGGAUCAGCACGCCACGGUGAAUACGUUCCCGGGCCUUGUACACACCGCCCGUCACACCAUGAGAGUUUGUAACACCCGAAGCCGGUGGCGUAACCCUUUUAGGGAGCGAGCCGUCUAAGGUGGGAC